AUUGAACGCUGGGCGGCAUGCCUUACACAUGCAAGUCGAACGGUAACGCGGGGCAACCUGGCGACGAGUGGCGAACGGGUGAGUAAUAUAUCGGAACGUGCCCAGUAGUGGGGGGAUAGCCCGGCGAAAGCCGGAUUAAUACCGCAUACGACCUACGGGUGAAAGCGGGGGAUCGCAAGACCUCGCGCUAUUGGAGCGGCCGAUAUCAGAUUAGGUAGUUGGUGGGGUAAAGGCCUACCAAGCCUACGAUCUGUAGCUGGUCUGAGAGGACGACCAGCCACACUGGGGACUGAGACACGGCCCAGACUCCUACGGGAGGCAGCAGU
rnacentral:rRNA from 1 species